rnacentral:rRNA from 1 species
UACGUAGGGGGCGAGCGUUGUCCGGAGUUACUGGGCGUAAAGGGCAUGCAGGCGGUCGGACGCGUUUUGUGUGACAGCGGGUGGCUAAACUGCCCGAGUAUGCAAAAGACGGUUUGACUUGAGGACUCGAGAGGGACACGGAAUUCCGGGUGGAGUGGUGAAAUGCGUAGAGAUCCGGAGGAACACCGAAGGCGAAGGCAGUGUCCUGGCGAGUGACUGACGCUGAGGUGCGAAAGCUAGGGGAGCGAACGGG